GCAUAUCAAUAAGCGGAGGAAAAAGAAACCAACAGGGGAUUGCCUCAGUAACGGCGAAGUGAAGCGGCAACAGCUCAAAUUUGAAAUCUGGCCUCUGGCCCGAGUUGUAAUUUGCAGAGGAUGUUUCUGGCGAGGUGCCUUCCGAGUUCCCUGGAACGGGACGCCAUAGAGGGUGAGAGCCCCGUACGGUUGGUCGCUAAGCCUCUGUGAAACUCCUUCGACGAGUCGAGUAGUUUGGGAAUGCUGCUCUAAAUGGGAGGUGUACGCCUUCUUAAGCUAAAUACAGGCUAGAGACCGAUAGCGCACAAGUAGAGUGAUCGAAAGAUGAAAAGCACUUUGAAAAGAGAGUUAAAUAGCACGUGAAAUUGUUGAAAGGGAAGCGCUCUUGACCAGACUUGCGCCGGUUGAUCAUCCACCGUUCUCGGUGGUGCACUCUGCCGGCUCAGGCCAGCAUCAGUUCGGCCCGGGGGACAAAGGCUUCGGGAAUGUGGCUCUCUCCGGGGAGUGUUAUAGCCCGUUGCGUAAUACCCUGGGCUGGACUGAGGUUCGCGCAUCUGCAUGGAUGCUGGCGUAAUGGUCAUCAGUGACCCGUCUUGAAACACGGACCAAGGAGUCGUCUUCGUAUGCGAGUGUUCGGGUGUCAAACCCCUACGCGUAAUGAAAGUGAACGUAGGAGAGAGCUUCGGCGCAUCUCCGACCGAUCCUGAUGUUCUCGGAUGGAUUUGAGUAAGAGCAUACGGGGCCGGACCCGAAAGAAGGUGAACUAUGCCUGUAUAGGGUGAAGCCAGAGGAAACUCUGGUGGAGGCUCGCAGCGGUUCUGACGUGCAAAUCGAUCGUCAAAUAUGGGGCAUGGGGGGCGAAAGACUAUCGAACCUUCUAGUAGCUGGUUUCCGCGCCCCCCCCCCCCGACAAAAAAAAAAAAACUGGGGGUA
rnacentral:rRNA from 1 species